AGCGAACGCUGGCGGCAGGCCUAACACAUGCAAGUCGAACGAACUCUUCGGAGUUAGUGGCGGACGGGUGAGUAACACGUGGGAACGUGCCUUUAGGUUCGGAAUAACUCAGGGAAACUUGUGCUAAUACCGAAUGUGCCCUUCGGGGGAAAGAUUUAUCGCCUUUAGAGCGGCCCGCGUCUGAUUAGCUAGUUGGUGAGGUAAAGGCUAACCAAGGCGACGAUCAGUAGCUGGUCUGAGAGGAUGAGCAGCCACAUUGGGACUGAGACACGGCCCAAACUCCUACGGGAGGCAGCAGUGGGGAAUCUUGCGCAAUGGGCGAAAGCCUGACGCAGCCAUGCCGCGUGAAUGAUGAAGGUCUUAGGAUUGUAAAAUUCUUUCACCGGGGACGAUAAUGACGGUACCCGGAGAAGAAGCCCCGGCUAACUUCGUGCCAGCCGCCGCGGUAA
rnacentral:rRNA from 1 species